UACGUAGGCAGCAAGCGUUGUUCGGAGUUACUGGGCGUAAAGGGUGUGUAGGCGGUUGGAUAAGUGUGGUGUGAAAUCUCCCGGCUUAACUGGGAGGGUGCGCUACAAACUGUCUGACUAGAGUGUGGGAUGGGAAAGUGGAAUUCCCGGUGUAGUGGUGAUAUGCGUAGAUAUCGGGAGGAACACCUGUGGCGAAGGCGGCUUUCUGGGCCCUACCUGACGCUGAGACGCGAAAGCGUGGGGAGCGAACCGG
rnacentral:rRNA from 1 species